rnacentral:SRP_RNA from 1 species
GCCAGGUGUGGUGGUGCAUGCCUGUAGUCCCAGCUACUUGGGAGGCUGAGAUAGGAGGAUCACUUGAGCCCAGGAGUUUGAGGCUGCAGUGAGCCAUGAUCAUGCCACUGCAUUCCAGCCUGGGCCACAGAGUAAGACUCUGUUUCAA